rnacentral:rRNA from 1 species
CAUAGGUUAAUGAGGCGAACCGGGGGAACUGAAACAUCUAAGUACCCCGAGGAAAAGAAAUCAACCGAGAUUCCCCCAGUAGCGGCGAGCGAACGGGGAGCAGCCCAGAGCCUGAAUCAGUGUGUGUGUUAGUGGAAGCGUCUGGAAAGGCGCGCGAUACAGGGUGACAGCCCCGUACACAAAAAUGCACAUACUGUGAGCUCGAUGAGUAGGGCGGGACACGUGGUAUCCUGUCUGAAUAUGGGGGGACCAUCCUCCAAGGCUAAAUACUCCUGACUGACCGAUAGUGAACCAGUACCGUGAGGGAAAGGCGAAAAGAACCCCGGCGAGGGGAGUGAAAAAGAACCUGAAACCGUGUACGUACAAGCAGUGGGAGCCUCUUUAUGGGGUGACUGCGUACCUUUUGUAUAAUGGGUCAGCGACUUAUAUUCUGUAGCAAGGUUAACCGAAUAGGGGAGCCGAAGGGAAACCGAGUCUUAACUGGGCGUUAAGUUGCAGGGUAUAGACCCGAAACCCGGUGAUCUAGCCAUGGGCAGGUUGAAGGUUGGGUAACACUAACUGGAGGACCGAACCGACUAAUGUUGAAAAAUUAGCGGAUGACUUGUGGCUGGGGGUGAAAGGCCAAUCAAACCGGGAGAUAGCUGGUUCUCCCCGAAAGCUAUUUAGGUAGCGCCUCGUGAAUUCAUCUCCGGGGGUAGAGCACUGUUUCGGCAAGGGGGUCAUCCCGACUUACCAACCCGAUGCAAACUGCGAAUACCGGAGAAUGUUAUCACGGGAGACACACGGCGGGUGCUAACGUCCGUCGUGAAGAGGGAAACAACCCAGACCGCCAGCUAAGGUCCCAAAGUCAUGGUUAAGUGGGAAACGAUGUGGGAAGGCCCAGACAGCCAGGAUGUUGGCUUAGAAGCAGCCAUCAUUUAAAGAAAGCGUAAUAGCUCACUGGUCGAGUCGGCCUGCGCGGAAGAUGUAACGGGGCUAAACCAUGCACCGAAGCUGCGGCAGCGACACUAUGUGUUGUUGGGUAGGGGAGCGUUCUGUAAGCCUGUGAAGGUGUGCUGUGAGGUAUGCUGGAGGUAUCAGAAGUGCGAAUGCUGACAUAAGUAACGAUAAAGCGGGUGAAAAGCCCGCUCGCCGGAAGACCAAGGGUUCCUGUCCAACGUUAAUCGGGGCAGGGUGAGUCGACCCCUAAGGCGAGGCCGAAAGGCGUAGUCGAUGGGAAACAGGUUAAUAUUCCUGUACUUGGUGUUACUGCGAAGGGGGGACGGAGAAGGCUAUGUUGGCCGGGCGACGGUUGUCCCGGUUUAAGCGUGUAGGCUGGUUUUCCAGGCAAAUCCGGAAAAUCAAGGCUGAGGCGUGAUGACGAGGCACUACGGUGCUGAAGCAACAAAUGCCCUGCUUCCAGGAAAAGCCUCUAAGCAUCAGGUAACAUCAAAUCGUACCCCAAACCGACACAGGUGGUCAGGUAGAGAAUACCAAGGCGCUUGAGAGAACUCGGGUGAAGGAACUA